UCGUAGAUGUCGUAAGAAUUGUGAAGGC
rnacentral:piRNA from 1 species